rnacentral:rRNA from 1 species
GGUGAACGCUGGCGGCGUGCCUAAUACAUGCAAGUCGAGCGAACAGACGAGGAGCUUGCUCCUCUGACGUUAGCGGCGGACGGGUGAGUAACACGUGGAUAACCUACCUAUAAGACUGGGAUAACUUCGGGAAACCGGAGCUAAUACCGGAUAAUAUAUUGAACCGCAUGGUUCAAUAGUGAGAGACGGUUUUGCUGUCACUUAUAGCUGGAUCCGCGCCGCAUUAGCUAGUUGGUAAGGUAACGGCUUACCAAGGCAACGAUGCGUAGCCGACCUGAGAGGGUGAUCGGCCACAUUGGAACUGAGACACGGUCCAGACUCCUACGGGAGGCAGCAGUAGGGAAUCUUACGCAAUGGGCGAAAGCCUGACGGAGCAACGCCGCGUGAGUGAUGAAGGUCUUCGGAUCGUAAAACUCUGUUAUUAGGGAAGAACAAAUGUGUAAGUAACUAUGCACGUCUUGACGGUACCUAAUCAGAAAGCCACGGCUAACUACGUG